UGAGAGCACUUUAAAAUUUAAAGUGCCAGUUCCCGAUGGGUCUCUGAAGUUAAGCAACGUCCCUCGUGGACGGUAUCCGGAUGGAUGACCAUCUGGAUAAUCGCGUGGUGCUCCCGU
rnacentral:rRNA from 1 species